rnacentral:rRNA from 1 species
AGCAGCCGCGGUAAUUCCAGCUCCAAUAGCGUAUAUUAAAGUUGUUGCAGUUAAAAAGCUCGUAGUUGAAUUUCGGGGUUAGUAGGUUGGUCAUGCCUCUGGUAUGUACUGGUCUCACUGAUUCCUCCUUCCUGAUGAGCCGUAAUGCCAUUAAUUUGGUGUUGCGGGGAAUUUGGACUGUUACUUUGAAAAAAUUUAGAGUGUUUAAAGCAAGCUAACGCUUGAAUACAUUAGCAUGGAAUAAUGAAAUAGGACGUUCGAUCCUAUUUUGUUGGUUUCUAGGAUUGACGUAAUGAUUAAUAGGGAUAGUUGGGGGCAUUAGUAUUCAAUUGUCAGAGGUGAAAUUCUUGGAUUUAUUGAAGACUAACUACUGCGAAAGCACUUGCCAAGGAUGUUUUCAUUAAUCAAGAACGAAAGUUAGGGGAUCGAAGACGAUCAGAUACCGUCGUAGUCUUAACCAUAAACUAUGCCGACUAGGGAUCGGAUGAUGUUAAUUUUUUAAUGACUCAUUCGGCGCCUU